rnacentral:rRNA from 1 species
UACGGAGGGUGCGAGCGUUGUCCGGAAUCACUGGGCGUAAAGGGCUCGUAGGCGGCCAACUAAGUCCGACGUGAAAUCCCAAGGCUUAACCUUGGAACUGCGUCGGAUACUGGAUGGCUUGAAUUCGGGAGAGGGAUGCAGAAUUCCAGGUGUAGCGGUGAAAUGCGUAGAUAUCUGGAGGAAUACCGGUGGCGAAGGCGGCAUCCUGGACCGACAUUGACGCUGAGGAGCGAAAGCUAGGGGAGCAAACGGG